rnacentral:rRNA from 1 species
CCUACGGUGGGCAGCAGUGGGGAAUAUUGGACAAUGGGCGAAAGCCUGAUCCAGCCAUGCCGCGUGCGUGAAGAAGGCCUUCGGGUUGUAAAGCACUUUCAGUGGGGAAGAAAGCCUUGGGGCUAAUACCCUCGAGGAAGGACAUCACCCACAGAAGAAGCACCGGCUAACUCCGUGCCAGCAGCCGCGGUAAUACGGAGGGUGCGAGCGUUAAUCGGAAUUACUGGGCGUAAAGCGCGCGUAGGCGGUCUGAUAAGCCGGUUGUGAAAGCCCCGGGCUCAACCUGGGAACGGCAUCCGGAACUGUCAGGCUAGAGUGCAGGAGAGGAAGGUAGAAUUCCCGGUGUAGCGGUGAAAUGCGUAGAGAUCGGGAGGAAUACCAGUGGCGAAGGCGGCCUUCUGGACUGACACUGACGCUGAGGUGCGAAAGCGUGGGUAGCAAACAGGAUUAGAUACCCUAGUAGUC